rnacentral:rRNA from 1 species
AGAGUUUGAUCAUGGCUCAGAACGAACGCUGGCGGCAGGCCUAACACAUGCAAGUCGAACGCUCGUAGCAAUACGGGAGUGGCGCACGGGUGAGUAACGCGUGGGCACCUACCCGGUGGUUUGGGAUAACCGCGGGAAACUGCGGCUAAUACCGGAUACGCCCCUCGGGGGAAAGAUUUAUCGCCAUCGGAUGGGCCCGCGUAGGAUUAGCUAGUUGGUGAGGUAACGGCUCACCAAGGCUACGAUCCUUAGCUGGUCUGAGAGGAUGAUCAGCCACACUGGGACUGAGACACGGCCCAGACUCCUACGGGAGGCAGCAGUGGGGAAUAUUGGACAAUGGGGGCAACCCUGAUCCAGCCAUGCCGCGUGAGUGAAGAAGGCCUUCGGGUUGUAAAGCUCUUUUGGCGGGGACGAUGAUGACGGUACCCGCAGAAUAAGCCCCGGCUAACUUCGUGCCAGCAGCCGCGGUAAGACGAAGGGGGCUAGCGUUGUUCGGAAUUACUGGGCGUAAAGGGCGCGUAGGCGGUCUUGUCAGUCAGGCGUGAAAGCCCUGGGCUCAACCUGGGAGGUGCGUUUGAUACUGCAAGGCUUGAGUGCAGGAGAGGAUGGUGGAAUUCCCAGUGUAGAGGUGAAAUUCGUAGAUAUUGGGAAGAACACCGGUGGCGAAGGCGGCCAUCUGGACUGCAACUGACGCUGAGGCGCGAAAGCGUGGGGAGCAAACAGGAUUAGAUACCCUAGUAGUCC